rnacentral:rRNA from 1 species
GAUGAACGCUGGCGGCGUGCCUAAUACAUGCAAGUCGAGCGAACAGACGAGGAGCUUGCUCCUUUGACGUUAGCGGCGGACGGGUGAGUAACACGUAGGUAACCUACCUAUAAGACUGGGAUAACUUCGGGAAACCGGAGCUAAUACCGGAUAAUAUUUCGAACCGCAUGGUUCGAUAGUGAAAGAUGGCUUUGCUAUCACUUAUAGAUGGACCUGCGCCGUAUUAGCUAGUUGGUAAGGUAACGGCUUACCAAGGCAACGAUACGUAGCCGACCUGAGAGGGUGAUCGGCCACACUGGAACUGAGGCACGGUCCAGACUCCUACGGGAGGCAGCAGUAGGGAAUCUUCCGCAAUGGGCGAAAGCCUGACGGAGCAACGCCGCGUGAGUGAUGAAGGUCUUCGGAUCGUAAAACUCUGUUAUUAGGGAAGAACAAACGUGUAAGUAACUGUGCACGUCUUGACGGUACCUAAUCAGAAAGCCACGGCGAACUACGUG